rnacentral:rRNA from 1 species
UACGUAGGGUGCAAGCGUUGUCCGGAAUUAUUGGGCGUAAAGAGCUCGUAGGCGGUUCGUCGCGUCGGCUGUGAAAACCCGGAGCUCAACUCCGGGCCUGCAGUCGAUACGGGCGGACUUGAGUGUUGCAGGGGAGACUGGAAUUCCUGGUGUAGCGGUGAAAUGCGCAGAUAUCAAAAAAAACACCAACGGCAAAAACAAUACACUAAUUAACUUCUAACACUCAUAUACAAAAACCAGGGGAGCAAACGGG